UACAGAGGUCUCAAGCGUUGUUCGGAUUCAUUGGGCGUAAAGGGUGCGUCGGUGGUGCUGUAAGUCAGGUGUGAAAUCUCGGGGCUCAACCCCGAAACUGCACUUGAUACUGCAGUGCUCGAGGACUGGAGAGGAGAUUGGAAUUCAUGGUGUAGCAGUGAAAUGCGUAGAUAUCAUGAGGAAGACCAGUGGCGAAGGCGGAUCUCUGGACAGUUCCUGACACUGAGGCACGAAGGCCAGGGGAGCAAACGGG
rnacentral:rRNA from 1 species